rnacentral:rRNA from 1 species
GAUCUGGCUCAGGAUGAACGCUGGCGGCGUGCUUAACACAUGCAAGUCGAGCGAAGCACUUUGGAAAGAUUCUUCGGAUGAUUUCCUUUGUGACUGAGCGGGCGGACGGGUGAGGUAACGCGUGGGUAACCUGCCUCAUACAGGGGGAGUAACAGUUAGAAAUGACUGCUAAUACCGCAUAAGACCACGGUACCGCAUGGUACAGUGGUAAAAACUCCGGUGGUAUGAGAUGGACCCGCGU